CCUCAAGGGCAAUCUCUCGCGUGGUCCACGUCAGAUUUACUACGAGACAAAACGUUUGCUUCGUUGAGAAGAAAAGAGAAAAUAACAGAGAAAGGGAUUGACCAGUGGCCCAGCGGCCCAGCUCCCAAUCAGCCAGUCCCCAUCGCCGGAUUCCUCUCCCUUUUCCCUCAUCUGCCGCCGCCACUGGCGACCUCGCCGCGGCCGCCGCGACCACCCACGCCCUCCCCAACGCCCACCCCUUCUCUCCUCCCCUUACCUUCUCCUUACCAUCAGCGAGCUCCUCCCCUCUCCCUCGCACCAGAUCGAGCAGCAGGCCGAAUCCGAAGCAGCCUCAGAUCCGGCACACCCAAAGCGAUGGUUUCCGUUGAGAACGCCAUGGACAAGUUGCUCUGGCCCUGUUGCUGCAGCCAUGGACAAGAUGUGUGCGGAUCGGAUGAAGAAGAGAAGAGGAAGGAUCUUGAGGAAGAGUGAAGAACAAGGUCUUCCAGGAGAAAUUUGGCGCCUCAAAUCUUGAAGAUUAGUUCUGAUUAGAUUCAAUUGACCAGGCAUACGUCGGCCUGCCCCUUGUGCCUCAUCUCCAUCCCCAUCUUCGGCACUCCUACCACUGCUCAAGUCCGCGUCCGUGAUGCAGCUGGCGAAGUAUUAUUUUUUCUGUGUUUUCUCCAUGUGGAUUUAACCUUACAUCUCCAGCGACAAACCUUUUGAUGGAGCCGCAUAAUGCAGAGUUGUGCCUGACUGACUAGGCCAGUUCCCAACAAAUUCAAGCAGCUAAGCUUGCAGGCAUGUGUACUAUAAAGGGAACCAAGUUCUGUAUAUAUUGUAUUUGCAGAAAGCGUUUUUGGCAUGUACGGUUCUAACAAAUUUGAGAUCUUCUUUCUGAUUCUCGAAGAAAUAAAGUUACUAUCCGUUAGUACAAUGAGGAAAAAAAUGAUAUGGUGUUGAAGCUAUGAUGAUGGAAGCUCUAGAGAAAGUUGAAGAUGUUUCUAAGGAGUGACAAGACAGAGUAUAGCUCUCCUUUGGCCAGUUUGAGAAGAUAGACAAAAAUCUUGGAGUUUGAGGCUAUCAUUGAUGAGGUAUCCUGGAGAGUUGCAAGCUGCUUGUCUUGUUCCGAAUCAUGUUCUCCGAGGCUAUGUAUAGACUUGCAGCACUGUCUUCCUUGUAUUUUAAUGAAGUUUGGCGCCAGGCUCUUUGAGAUAACUUAUUAGUUGCUACUGAUUGUUCGGGCGGCGGCGGCGGCUGCGGUUGGCGGCGGCCGGCUCGGCUGCGGUGGCGUGCAUGCUGUCUUCAGAUCGGCGACGGCGGCGUGGAGGGCCUGGUGGUCUCGUAGGUGGCACCUCCGAUCAGAUCUGUUCUGACCAGUGCAGCCGGCGGUGGUGGUCAUCUCUUCCGUCAGAGGUGGUCGGCCUGAGGCUGGGUGUUCGGAUCUCGGGAUCCGUCAUCUGGCACCAGUUGCGAGUCGGGGAGACGUAGUUGCCGGUGAAAACCGAGCCGACGGCGGGCGAUGGCGGCGUUCCACGUCGUUACCUUGAUGAAGGCAUCGUCAUGUGACUUCCGUCGACCCACUCGUAUUGCUCCGGGGGAAACCCUAGGAUCUGGUGUUCCAGACCGGACGAUGGCGGCACUGCGGUGUCGUUUCUCUCUUGGAAGUCAGAGGCAGGAGGUGGAGCGGCUUCGUCUUGCACGGAGCUUCGGUGGAGAUGUCAAGUCAUGUCUGACCGACAGGUGCUACGCUUGGUCAUGCCUGGUCGGCAGGUGCUACGCACGACAGAUCCUCCAAGGGCUUCAAGCUGUGUCGGCUGGUAGUACGUGGCAGCAUGGCGCUGAGGUGUGUCAGUGGCGAUCGUGACGUGUACAGCUGUUUGCGCGCAGGGAGGAGGUGCUGUUGGGCGCCGUGGUGGCGUCGACGAUAGCUGGACCGAGCAAGGUUGAUGCAUCAAUACAGUUCUGAAGAUAGAGCGGUGGCAGUUGGCGGCGGCGGCCUCUGAGAGCACGCCGGACCAGUGUGAGUCCCAGACCCGGCAAGUGGCUAGGUUGGGGUCUCAGGUCUUAGAUGUUAAGCUUGGCUGUGAUGUCUGUUUGGUAUUAGGCCCAGGCUAUCUGCGCCCCUUCAUCAACUGGAUAGGUGUAGCGACAGUUUGUUGCUUAGACGGUGGCUUUAGUCUUACUGUUGUAUGACUUUGUAAGGUCUUGUGAGAACAAUUAAUAAAGUGGCCGUAUGCAUCGCCUAGAUGCAGAGGCCGGGGGUCAUCCUCCUUUUCUAAAAAAAACUAAAAAAGAAACUAAAAUGGGUGCCACCUACCUGGCACCGCAAAGCUUCCGCUCAGGAGGCGCACCAAGGGUAUUAUCAUCAAACUGGUGUUUAUGCCCUCAACUAUUAGGAUGAAUAUUUGUUAUAUGUCCAAAAGCCCUCACUCUUGGUAUGUGGCAAUGCAACAUGUCUGCAACAGGAUCAGAGACGAGGAUCGAGAGAAAUAUUAUACUCGGUCAUCCUUUUGUAUCAACUGUAAAGGUGAGAUCCCACUUUCACGGAAAGCUUUCUCUUAUCCUUUUGUAUAAACCUAUUCCCAGGUUGCCAAAUCCUUAUUUUAAUUGUAGAUAUUACAGUCGUCUAACUAUUUUCGGCUCAUCUAAUAUGUUGUCUUCAGACUGUAGCAUUUAUGGGCGAGCAAUAGCGGUGACAAGCACAAUCACUGAUAGGUAAAAACAUAAGGUCGCCGGCCACAUGGAACUCCCUGUUUCAUGUUGUUUCUUAUGUGAUAAGUAGAUAACCCGCAAUGAAGGAUUAUGAGAAUAAUUUGCUUGCUAUACUAAAAAUCAUCUUUGUAAUUAUCUUUUAGCGUAAAAUUAUGUCUGGUUGGUCUAACCAGAUGGUGAAAGUGCAUGCAAUCUCUUUCACUACCUAUAUCUAUAUAGAAAUUCUGCUCCGAGGCUCAAUAAUGGUGCUUCUGUGCUUAAUUUGUUGCCACCUAUUGCAUAACGAAAUUGUUAGGUGUUUCACAUGUGUUCUUGAGCAUAAAGUAAGAUGCAUUACCAACAUUAUUUCAAAUGCAAAUAUAUCAUCUUCUACUCUGUACAUGUUUGUUGGAAUUCAUGAGGGUGCAAGAUUUAAGAAAUUUACAAGACCAAUUCUUUUGUACUAAUGGUGCGCUUAUGCUACUAUGCUACUAUGCAGGUAUAUGCUCAUGUUUUAGUUGCAUGGAUAUGGUCUUCUUAAGUAAGUUUUGCCUUUCAAGUUAGAUACAUACCUCCAUGUUGUCAAGGCAGACAAAAUGUUAAUGGUCUGAGAUUAAGACAUGUUUUAUAUUGAAUAAUUUAAUCAAUUGCUGCUAAACCCUGACUGCCAACUAUGUAGCAUUUUCUGCUUGCACAAAUUAAGAAAGACUCGGGUUAUUUUCCCUAAUUUAUUGUUCAGUUUAAAUGCACAGAUCUAGGAGUCUUCCUUUUGCCCUUUUGGUAUAGACUAUGGGUGCUUAAGUCACUCCUAAGUUUUGUUGCUACAUUUCAGUGCUUUCUACUAUCUGCUUCGAGUUACAGGGUAAAUCCAGAUGUUUCCACUCAUGCAUGUGUACUGUGGAGAGGGAGAUGCAGUUCAUACACAAAUGUAGUUUUAUAUGCACUUAACCUGUUUAGCUACGAGUAUGGAGAUUUUGUCUAAAUCCACGAAUACUUAUAUGUUGCAUCUAUUGAUGAACAAAUAUGUAAAAACUUUUGUUUGCAUCUCUCGAUGAACAAGGGGCUUACUCUUGAA